CAGUCGCCACGGGAAUACGAAGGGGGCUAGCGUUGCUCGGAAUCACUGGGCGUAAAGGGUGCGUAGGCGGGUCUUUAAGUCAGGGGUGAAAUCCUGGAGCUCAACUCCAGAACUGCCUUUGAUACUGAAGAUCUUGAGUUCGGGAGAGGUGAGUGGAACUGCGAGUGCAGAGGUGAAAUUCGUAGAUAUUCGCAAGAACACCAGUGGCGAAGGCGGCUCACUGGCCCGAUACUGACGCUGAGGCACGAAAGCGUGGGGAGCAAACAGGAUUAGAUACCCCUGUAGUCCCUGUCUCUUAUAA
rnacentral:rRNA from 1 species